AAGAAGUGUUAUGCUGUUCGGGAAGAAGUGUUAUGGUGUUAAUGAAUUAGUGUUAUGGUGUUAAUGAAUAGGAAGUUAUGUAAUUCCGGAGCGAGUGUA